rnacentral:rRNA from 1 species
UACGAAGGGGGCUAGCGUUGCUCGGAAUCACUGGGCGUAAAGCGCACGUAGGCGGAUUGCUAAGUCAGGGGUGAAAUCCUGGAGCUCAACUCCAGAACUGCCCUUGAUACUGGCGGUCUCGAGUCCGAGAGAGGUGAGUGGAACUGCGAGUGUAGAGGUGAAAUUCGUAGAUAUUCGCAAGAACACCAGUGGCGAAGGCGGCUCACUGGCCCGGUACUGACGCUGAGGUGCGAAAGCGUGGGGAGCAAACAGG